rnacentral:rRNA from 1 species
UACGUAGGGUGCAAGCGUUGUUCGGAAUCAUUGGGCGUAAAGCGCGUGUAGGCGGUCUGUUAAGUCUGGUGUGAAAGCCCGGGGCUCAACCCCGGAACUGCAUUGGAUACUGGCAGACUAGAGGACAGAAGAGGGAAGUGGAAUUCCUGGUGUAGGGGUGAAAUCCGUAGAUAUCAGGAGGAACAUCAGUUGCGAAGGCGGCUUCCUGGUCUGUUACUGACGCUGAGACGCGAAAGCGUGGGGAGCAAACAGG